rnacentral:sRNA from 1 species
ACUAGACAGACAAACUCAGCAAUUGAGUUCAAUUAUUCACUGUCGUCUUAAUUAGAAAAUCUUAGUAUUGAGACCUGGUGUUAAUGAAGGAGAAGCAAACAUUGAACUUGUUGGCCUAAGAGAACAACAGCAGUAGCAAGAGGAAAGCUUGGAAGUGCAGAGGUACAGCUGAGUUGUUUGAAGACGAUGUAUUUGUAAUCCCAGAGGCUUAUCCAGUUGCCAUCAACGCAACCUCCAAUCUAAGUUUCUUUGCUUUCGGUAUCAAUGCUGAGAACAACCAGAUGAACUUCCUUCAGUUGAAGGUGAGAAAGACAAUGUGAUGAGCGAGAUACCUACAGAGGUGUUGGAGGUUUCCUUCCCUGCGUGUGGUGAGAAGGUUGAGAAGUUGAUAAAGAAGCAGCAGCAAAGGGAGAGAAGAAAGGGUUCAUUUGCGUACUGAAUUAUGAACUAAAUGUAUGUAUGGUGUAAGAGCUCACAGAGCGUUGAAAUAUGUACAGGAUAUAAGCUCCACCUCACUUCUUCUAUGAAUAAAC